CUACGGGAGGCAGCAGUCGAGGAAAUUUUACAAUGCUCGAAAGAGUGAUAAAAUAAACCAGAGUGUUUUCUUUUAGAAAACUUUUGUCAGUUGCAAAAAGACUGGCGAAUAAGGACUGGGCAAGACCGGUGCCAGCAGCCGCGGUAAUACCGGCGGUCCAAGUCGUAUCCACAUUUAUUUGGUCUAAAACAUUCGUAGCUUGUUUGAUAAGUCUCUUGUGAAAUCUGAUAUCUUAAAUAUCAGGCGUGCAAGAGAUACUGUCUUACUAGAGACCGGAAGACGCAAAGAGUAUUGUUGAGGUAGCGGUAAAAUGUGUUAAUCUCAAUUAGACUAACGAUGGCGAAGGCACUUUGCGAGUACGGAUCUGACAGUGAGGGAUGAAGGCUAGGGGCGCAAAAGGGAUUAGAUACCCCUUGUAGUC
rnacentral:rRNA from 1 species